AGCUCCAAUAGCAUAUAUUAAUGUUGUUGCAGUUAAAAAGCUCGUAGUUGGAUUUCUGCAGGAGUGCCAAUGUCCGACCACGUUCGUGUGCAGCGGCGCCCCUGCAUCCUUCGGUUACCUCCGCUCGGCAUUCACUUGCCGGCGGUUGGCUCCGAAUAUUUACCUUGAGAAAAUUAGAGUGUUUCAGGCAGGCUUGUCCGGAAUACAUUAGCAUGGAAUAAUAGAAUAGGACUACGGUCUCGUUGUUGGUUUGAGGGACUGGAGUAAUGAUUAAUAGGGAUAGUUGGGGGCAUUAGUAUUUAAUUGUCAGAGGUGAAAUUCUCAGAUUAACUAAAGACUAACUUAUGCGAAAGCAUUUGCCAAGGAUGUUUUCAUUA
rnacentral:rRNA from 1 species